rnacentral:misc_RNA from 1 species
GUUCAGUAUUUCAUGGAAAAAUCAGGGAGAAGAAGGUCAGAAAGCUUUAUCUUGCUCUUGCUGCUGCUCCAGUUCCUAUCGGAAUACUUACACACUACAUGCGUCCUAUUAAUAUGGCCCCAAGACUUGUUUCUAGAGAUUUUGUGAAAGGAUGGUUGUUAUGCCAACUUGAGGUCUUAGAAUGCCAAAAGGUACCCUGGCCUAGUAGUGAAAUCCAGAGGACAUACAACCUUGAGGACUGUGGAUGGGCUUUGAAGGACUAUGCAUAUGAGUGUCAAAUCAACCUUCUAACUGGUCGGACUCAUCAGAUUCGAGCACAGUUAGCUGCAUGUAGUGCACCAGUGGUAGGUGACUCGAUGUAUAUGCCAGCUGCAAUUGCUGAAAUAGUCUGUCCUGGGAGUAAUCCAUUUGGGAAGAACAAAAAACUAUAUUCAAACGAAAAUGAUAAAUCACUUGCAAUAGACGAGUGGAUAGCACAACAUGGGAAGGAACCUAGUGUUGCUGUAGGUCUUCAGGCAUGCCAGAUCUCGUGGGACGAUGGCCAGCACUGUUAUGGUGCCAGAAUGCCCUGGUGGAGGUAGAUAAAGCUUGUGGCUAAUGUUUAAGCCUGGCUUCAUCAGAAUAAUGUGGCAGGCCUGACAAAUUCUUCUGCACAAGCUUUGUGUUGUAUGGUACCUCAGCUGGUGAUAGAAAGAGGAAGCUGGUCAUGAUGUCAGCAA